UUACCUCUGCAGAAUUGAUGGAACUUCUCCAUGAUUUUUGCUUAUUUCCAGUCUCUUUUUAUACCUUUUUCUUUAGGCAGUUUGAGUGGCUAUAGCCAAUAAACUAAUUUUGGGGUGAUAAACAGAUGAAAUAGGCCCAAGGGUCCACUUUCUGAGUUGCCGGCAGCCAGGAUGUUUGAGAAAAAAGGCUGUGUUGUCUCCAUAUCACUCCUUUCUUUGUUUUAAUCCUUUUAUCAAUUUCUAGGAAUGUCUCGCCAGGUGCACAGUUUUUCCAGGAAACCAUCAGGAGCCUUUUUCUUCUUUUGUAUGGCGUUAUCUAUCACCUUACAAAGGGGGUGUUUUGAUGGCAGCAGGAUUCAUGGAAGAGAGAGAUAGGCCUCCUAUAUAACAAGAGAGAGAAAGAGCACUGUCUCUCACUGCCCAUGGACCAAAGAUCUGUCAAAAUAACUAAAACAAUGACACUCAAGGAAUAAGACCCUUUCAGAUGCUUGCUUAGAGACAUGAUAUCAGAAAGCGGAAAAAGUACACAGAAAAUUAUAAGAUGUUAUAGCACGCUAUAACAGGAUAAAGUUAAGCUCUUGUGUGUUAUGCUUUGGAUAAGUGUUACAAGAAUACUUGCCCUACGCAUGUAAUAGUACUAGAUACAACACAGGACUAUUAAUGUUCCCAUUUUGACCUCAUAAAUAUAUUCAGGAAAUUAUCUGCUAUUAACACACCCACUUUCUUUCCCCCACUUCCCAAACAGAUUUGGCUUAGUGUGAAUGUAGGAUGGGGUAAUUUGACUUUUGCAAUCACAGCAGACAGCUGUGAGUGAUACAUGACAUGAAAAUGAAUUAUCCCUGCUCUUGUUCAUUGAGAGCAGAUAGCACUGUGCAGUUAUUGUGCUGUGUUGUAGUCUGUGCUUGACAGGUAUGGAGUACAUGAAGAUAAAAUAAGCCUUUAUACCAAGUUUUAUUAAUUAUUCUUAUAUACAUACAGAAAAAUAACUUUAUAGAAACAUCAUAUUCCUUAAUUUCCUUUCUAUGUCUCCCCUCCUUCCAUUCCUCCUCACUGUGAGAUUAUUCUACUAUGCUCCCAGUCACUCAGGCUUAAUAGCAGAAUGCUAAACUCAACCCCCCUUUUCCCUUUCCACCCACUGCUAGAAUGCUAUUAAAAGUCACCAGUUCUUCCUCAGUAAGAUGAAGAAGCUAUAUAAUUUCCUUUGUAUUUCAGCUGAUACUGUUCUGAUAAUUUAUCAAAACUGUCUUAUCCUGUCUCCCCUCACCUGAUUCAGCUUUCCCCUUUUCUUCUUGGACUUUACACUGCAAGCCUUCUGUUCAACUUAUCAGAGUUUUUUCUUAGCCUAACCUCAUUAUCCCUCUUCCUAUUUUGAACUCUCAUUUCACUGAUUUGGAAAUUCUCAGUGCCUUCUUUGUGAGCUACAACCUCCCCACUGCAACUUGUCACUUCUGUGUAUUCUACCUCAAGCUGCCAGUGGUUGCUUGGAGUUCAGUUCUUUCUGCUCCCUGGGCUCUUCAUCUUCUCUCUCUUUAUCUUUUUCUCAUUGGAAGAAUCUACAAUUUUGCAAUUAAGCACAUUCUCAUUUUCCUUUCUUUCUUCUCUGAGCCCUUCAAAUUUUGGCUCACUUACACCAGAAACAGGUUAGUUAUUUUCUAAUGCAUUUUAUUUAUUCUGAACUUACUCUGUGUCUCAGAGGUACAAAUUUGAGCUAUUUGGAAGGUUUGCCCUUUGCCAUGAACUCAAGUUAUGAAUAAGACUAAGCAAGGGUGGUUUUAGGGACUUGUAUGUUAGCAUCUGAGUUAGUAAGCCAUGCUUGGCAGCUCUAGUUUGAAUAAAUCAUUUGAAUUACAGCAUGAUGAGAGCAUAGAAGAUUUUUUUUUUUCCCCAUAUGCUUUUUGACAACUAGUUUUGGAAAAAUCAACAGUUUGCAUAAUGUAGGAAAUAUGACAAAUGGAUCCCUAUAGACACAUUCACUUCGAAUUUAGGUGGCCAUUGGUAGGAUCUCAUAAUCUCAUGCCUGGUUUCCUUCUGAGUGCACCCCAAUGAUUUUAUGUGACCUACCAACCACCAGAAACACCAACCAGCCUUAUCAAUCUGUGUCAACAUCUGUGUCUGCUCCUGAAGUCCCUGGAAAGUAUUUGAUUUACUCUUUGUGAUACCCUACACUGAGGGAGGCUUUUGCAAGUGCAUGUGAGCCAUGUUUCAUUUUGUGUAUUGCUGUCUUGUGUAUGCACACAAGACUCUAGAGGGUCAGCCAUAUAGGAAGUGCUGUGGUCCUCUGCAUGGUGUAACCCAACCUGUACAGGUCAACAGAGAGUGAGGGAGAGUAAAGGCUUUGUCUCAUCUUUAUUUGUUCUGUUUCCUGGACCACAAAGAUGUUGCUUCUAGCUUAUUUUGCCAUCUCCCAAGCUCUCUCUUUCCCUCAUGUGUAUCUGCAAAGGGGAAGAUCCUUCUACAUAUGUCCAACCACAUACCCCAGUGCGGGGACUGCAGCAUCUGCAUAGGACGUGCCAUGGGUGGUUCAGGAGGAAGGUACCAGUCAAACGGAAGUAAUUUUUUGCUUUCUCAGAAGGAAAACAAAUGACAGAUCUAGCUGUGCCUGACAAUUCCUGAGCACUAGAGACUCUCUCUACCUCUAGGGAACCUCAGGUUAAUGAGAUGGAAAAUGCAGUCAGCAGAGUCCGUGCAACCAGAAACCACCAAAUGUGCCCAAACUGCCCCUGUAUCUCUGAAAUGUGCCUUAUUUCUAAAGCUGAAGGACUCUUAAUACCAGAUUCUUAGCUCAGUCCUGAUUUGAUUUUUAAUAUUUUCACUCUGCCCUUCAUACUAAUAAUAUUUUAGAAGGGAAAAAUAGAGGAGGCUGCCUCACAGAUACAGAAGUCUUUACUGUAAUUUUCAGGCAAAAAAUCAAAUUGCCUGUGGGCUGUAGAUUUUCAUAGCGUACAUGCAUAGCAGAGGUCACCUUUAACAUUAAGGGCAUGAAUCUCGUUUUCCCUCCAUCGUUUGAGCUUUGGUGUAACACCAUUAAUAACUUCAGCACAUUCACACUGACUGAUCUGUGGGGUUACUAAGACCAUUAGUUUGGCCCAGACCUUGUAUUUAAAGUGUAACUAAUGGCAACAAAAACUCUUAACUGUGCUUUAGAGAGAAAAUAGAAUAAUGAGAAGCUGCUGACAGCUUCUAGGAACCAUAUUAGACUGCUUACUUAAUUUUAUACAAAAUUCUCUCAUUACUAGAUCCCACCAUUAUAUCUGUCUGGGAAGAAAAUUAACCCAUUACCCCCAUUUUGCAGACAGAACUGAGGUUCUGAGAGAUAAAAGGACUGUCAAAAAUCACUCGGAGGGCAAAAUUACAUGUUUUUUCAAUCCCCUUAUAGUUCAUUACACUCG